rnacentral:rRNA from 1 species
UCCAGAGGUCUCAAGCGUUGUUCGGAUUCAUUGGGCGUAAAGGGUGCGUAGGCGGCGCGGUAAGUCGGGUGUGAAAUUUCGAGGCUUAACUUCGAAACUGCAUUCGAUACUGCCGUGCUAGAGGACUGGAGAGGAGACUGGAAUUUACGGUGUAGCGGUGAAAUGCGUAGAUAUCGUAAGGAAGACCAGUGGCGAAGGCGGGUCUCUGGACAGUUCCUGACGCUGAGGCACGAAGGCCAGGGGAGCAAACGGG